CAAGGAACACCCAAAUUUUUUAUAACUAUCUAAUCAGUAGUACGUCUAUCAAAAUUGACAACAUAUACUUCACUUUUUUUCUAAUUUACAAACACUGACGAAGAUUUAAGACAACUUUCACAUCCCUAGUAACCAAGAAUUAAGUUAAAACUUUCUAACUAUUAAUAUAUAAAAAAUAAGUAUAAAGGAUCAUUCUAAAGCGGCAAAAACUUCAAUGAUGGGAAAAUAUGAAUGUAUGAAUCUAAUACAUUAUGAAAAGAGUCAUAAAGGUAUUUACCUUGGAUUGUAGCCUAGGAUCCGUAGCAAAUCUCGUAAUUGCUUAGCGUUUAGCUUCCCUGUGGACUCUGAA
rnacentral:lncRNA from 1 species